CCUACGGGAGGCAGCAGUGAGGAAUAUUGGUCAAUGGACGAGAGUCUGAACCAGCCAAGUCGCGUGAAGGAUGACUGCCCUAUGGGUUGUAAACUUCUUUUAUAAAGGAAUAAAACGCGGCACGUGUGCCUUUUUGCAGGUACUUUGUGAAUAAGGAUCGGCUAACUCCGGGCCAGCAGCCGCGGUAAUACGGAGGAUCCGGGCGUUAUCCGGAUUUAUUGGGGUUAAAGGGAGCGGAGAUGGGUUGUUAAAGCAUGUGUGCAAGUUUACGGGUUAACCGUAAAAUUGCAAUUGAUACUGGCAGUCUUGAGUACAGUUGAGGUAGGCGGAAUGUGUGGUGUAGCGGUGAAAUGCUUAGAUAUCACGAAGAACCCCGAUUGCGAAGGCAGCUUACUAACCUGUGACUGACAUUGAUGCUCGAAAGUGUGGGUAUCAAACAGGAUUAGACUCCCCAGUAGUC
rnacentral:rRNA from 1 species